rnacentral:rRNA from 1 species
CACCGCGGUUAUACGAGAGGCCCAAGUUGAUAACAAUCGGCGUAAAGAGUGGUUAUGAAUAAACCCUGUAAAACUAAAGCCAAAUGCCCCCAGAGCUGUUAUACGCCCCCGGAGGCCAGAAGCCCAACCACGAAAGUGGCUUUAUAUUAUCUGACCCCACGAAAGCUAUGAUA